rnacentral:rRNA from 1 species
AAUUUACCUUUAGGAGGGGGAUAACAACUGGAAACGGUUGCUAAUACCCCAUAUGCUUUCGAGUGAAAUGGAUUUUUCCGCCUAAAGAGGAGCUUGCGGCUGAUUAGCUUGUUGGUGAGGUAAUGGCUCACCAAGGCGACGAUCAGUAUCUGGUUUGAGAGGACGAUCAGACACACUGGAACUGAGACACGGUCCAGACUCCUACGGGAGGCAGCAGUGGGGAAUUUUCCGCAAUGGGCGAAAGCCUGACGGAGCAAUACCGCGUGAGGGAUGACGGCCUAUGGGUUGUAAACCUCUUUUUUCAGGGAGGAAUCAAUGACGUGUACCUGAAGAAUAAGCAUCGGCUAACUCCGUGCCAGCAGCCGCGGUAAGACGGAGGAUGCAAGUGUUAUCCGGAAUCACUGGGCGUAAAGCGUCUGUAGGUGGUCUAGUAAGUCAACUGUUAAAUCUUGAGGCUCAACUUCAAAAUCGCAGUCGAAACUAUUAGACUAGAGUAUAGUAGGGGUAAAGGGAAUUUCCAGUGGAGCGGUGAAAUGCGUAGAGAUUGGAAAGAACACCGAUGGCGAAGGCACUUUACUGGGCUAUUACUGACACUGAGAGACGAAAGCUAGGGUAGCAAAUGGGAUUAGAUACCCCAGUAGUCCUAGCCGUAAACAAUGGAUACUAGAUGUUGAACAGAUCGACCUGUGCAGUAUCAAAGCUAACGCGUUAAGUAUCCCGCCUGGGAAGUACGCUCGC